rnacentral:rRNA from 1 species
CUGGAGUUACUAGUAAUCGCAGAUCAGAAUGCUGCGGGGAAUGCGUUCCCGGGUCUUGUACACACCGCCCGUCACACCACGGGAGUUGGAGACGCCCGAAGCCGAUUAUCUAACCUUUUGGAAGAAGGCGUCGAAGGUGGAAUCAAUAACUGGGGUGAAGUCGUAACAAGGUAGCCGUAUCGGAAGGUGCGGCUGGAUCACCUCCUUUCUAAGGAGA